UUACGGCCACUUCAUGUUGAAACACUAGUUCUGGCACGAUCACCAAAGUUAAGCAAUGUUGUGGCUGGUCAGUACCUAGAUGGGCGACCACUUGGGAAUUCCAGGUGCUGUAA